CACGCGUGACGAUCUCGUCCACCAUGCUCCGGUCGACCAGUUAAAGGAUCCGGAUUUGGAAGCUCCAUGAGAUGAAUCAUACCAGGACCAACCCACAACCAUGCUCCACGAUACGAGCACAUACUGGGAAAUAAUUGAACACUCACCUAAGACACCGCAGUAGAAUUCCAGCGACUUUUCCAGAUUGCUGCAAAGGAACCCAACAUGAUGCAAGUCUAUGUACUCAAUUGCUACACAGAGACAAGGAGAUGGCAAGAGUCAGAACAAGCUAGCUAUAAAUCAACCGCUUUUCGAGGACGAAUCCUUAGUCUUUUGUGAUACGACACUCUGAAUUGCUGGUGAUUGGAGCUGCUGGAUUGAAAGCAAUGGGUGAACACACAGACGAUAGAGGAUACGAUGGGGAUACUUACGGUUCGAGCUUGCAGUCUAGGAGCCCUGGUACUUGCGCCGAUGCAACCGUAGGUAUGCAAGCCAGUCGCCAUGCUAAACUUGUGGCGAGAGAAUUAAAAGCCAAAGACCAGUCUCGAACCCUCGAAUUUAUUUCCGAGUUCAGCAUCAACAACAGGUUCACCAUUUUGGAUUUGUAGAGCCUCACAAUUAUACAAAAGACUGCACGAUUUACACACCGCGAAAACUUUACUGAGACGGAUAGAUGCACGAACCAGAGCCUGCAAAACCAACAACGACGGGUGCAUUCCCAUCGAAGUAGCAGUUCCAGUAAUUCCGACCGUGUUUCUGGUAGUAGCUGUUAAAGGCAUACGAAGCAUGGGCAUCGACGGUAUUUGGCUGGAAGCAGC